UUUAACGGGUCACAAUUCCCAUCUUCACCGUCAAUUCUCACACCCAUGCCGUAACUUGAACCGCAAGGAACUCGUAUGUCGCAAAAAGAAACGAAGACUGACGGUAUCAUUAACAUUGUUAUUGUCGGUUUAUUGGACGUAAACAACAAGCCACGUUUCAUAUUAGAAGCAUCGAGGACCAUCCACUGACCGCCACGUUUUGAGUUCACUGAACCCCACUUUUUCAAAAUACGAUCAACAUCACUCGUUUUUAUCGUUUUCUCGCUAGGAAAACGAGAAAACGAAGCCAAAGGCUUCUCCUUGUUACACAUCAGAAAAAUCUCCCCUCUCUCUCGCUCUCUUGCCUCUCUUUCUUUCACUGACUUCUUUUUACUUCAAUUCACCGGAACCCUAACUCGAUCCGCCGGACAAUUCAAGAUUCCGAUGACCGUACGAUUAGGGAGGAGUUGAGAUCAAACGGCCAGAGAUUUCGUCACCGGAUGGAGGGAGGUAGCGUCUCUAGACUUACUUGCUCUGGGAUAAACUCAUGGAUUAUGAUGACACUGAUUUCCAAAGCCAGAAUCUUCAUUUAGCUGGUGAAGGAAACAGUAAAUUUCCUCCUGUUUUACGGCCAUACGCUCUCCCGAGAUUUGAUUUUGAUGAUAACCUUCAUGGGCAUUUAAGAUUUGAUAGUUUGGUAGAAUCUGAAGUUUUUCUUGGCAUUGAAAGUGGUGAGGAUAAUCAGUGGAUUGAAGAUUUUUCACGAGGGAGUACUGGGAUUACAUUUAGUUCAAGUGCAGCGGAACCUUGUUCGAUUUCUAGGCACAACAAUGUCUGGUCUGAGGCAGCCUCCUCAGAAUCUGUUGAAAUGCUAUUAAAAUCUGUAGGACAGGAAGAAACUAUUCUCGGUCAAACUAUAAGUAAGGAUUCAGAUGCCUGUGAUGAACUGGGCUGCAUAAUAAAGCAGAUGGAACCUAGUUUGAAACACGGAGAUAGUGGUCUUUCUAGAGUAGGGGAUGACUUAAAGCCUCCCUUACGUAUAGAUGAGAUUCCAGGGAUAUAUUCUGGGUUGAAAGGUGAUGUAGGGGCAGAUCAUUGGCUGGUUGAAGAUGUUUCUCAAAAAUGUGAAGGUGAGCCAUCUGUUGAUGGGGCAUUCAAAGAUUCGAAUACCACAAAUGCAAACAUAACUGCAAUUGAGAGAGAUGAAUCUAAAGAUGGUAAACAAAUUGUUAAUGAAAAUCAAGUGGAGGCUUUGGUUGAUCAAUCUGUGGAUGACAGGGGACAGGAAGAUAAAUUUGCUUCUGGGUCAAAAAUUGAUAAUGUAAUUGCCUCUGUGCAAAACACCUGUACAAGUAGUGUUUUGAUAGAUGGUCAAGAAACCACCCAUUUAAAAAAUGAUAUCAUUGAUGAAGAUGUGGACAGUUUAGAGAGGGAAAAUGUUGAUUUGAGCCAAGAAGUUCACAUUGAUUGUGAGCACUUGAUUGAAAAUGCAGUUCCAAGUGUUACCUCACAUGUGCAGAAGCAUUCAUCCUUGAACAUGCAAUCUAUAAAAGAUGGAAAUGCUAUUGGAAACAGCACAGCUAAUGUGGGUGAGCCUUUUGAUAGGAUAUUACAAGGGAAUUCUGACGUCCAUAUGGUGGAAGGGUGCAGCGACUGCUUGGGUGUAGAAAUUCCUCUGCAGACCGGCAAAUCCAAAGACUUUGUCUUGUCUGAAGGAAAAGUACAGGACAUGUCAACAAAGCCCUCUGUUGAUGAUGCUACCCUCAAGGAGCAUGAAGAUGAGGUCAGCAAUGCUGAUACUAGAGCUUGUACGAGUCUAGAGUCAAAGAUGGAUUCAAAGUUGCAGAUAGCAUGUGAUGCUGUAGAGAAGAAGGAUUUGUUAGAAAGUGAUUGCCACCUAGAUGCAAAAAUCUUGAUUAGCAAGUCUGAGAAACCUUUUUUGUUAGUAGAAGAUGGUAAAGGUGCUAAGGGUGAAGGUGAAGGUGCUGCUGAUACCUUGGGAGCAGAACCCAUUAGAGUAUGUGAAAAAUAUACAGUCACUGAACAUAGUGGUGAUUAUAAACGUGAUCAAAGUGUUUCAGCUGCUGCAAAGCUGAACACCAAUUUGCCUUCUGAUUGUAGUAACACAGAUUGUGGUGAUGGUGGAUCUCCACUUGUAAUAAAGGGUGUUGAUUCCUCCUCCUUUGGCUUAGGUGGCACAUCAAAUGAAUUAGCUUCUAAUUUGCAAUCUGAUGUCGCUGUCAGCAGCAAAUCAGUGGAUUAUGUUCUUUUGUCUUCUGGUAAGGGUCUUCCUGCUGAUGCUGUUCUUGAUCAGAAAGAGGUUCAAGUGCCAUCUUCAGAAGCAAGUUUCUCAAUCAUAAAAACUUCUGGAAUGACAACUAAAAAAGUUGCACCUUCUGAGACCGGUGAACAGUUCUCUUGUAAGAAAGUUGAUCAGUCCUUGUCAAUGGAGGAUACCUCUAAAGUUGAUGGCGAAAGUGGAGACCAGACACUUCGCAAAGUCACACCGGAGGUUGGAAAGGAUAUGCAUGCAUCAUCUGUUGUCUCUGAUUCAACAGUGAGACAGACUGAUGGUGCUGAAGCUCAAGUUAUCUCUAAAAGGGGUUCUUCAGUAGCUACAGGUGAUGUAUCAAUUCAACAGAAUGACAAGACGUUGAUGAAUUCAGUGUCUUCAACUUCAAAGGAACCUUCCUGUAAUACUGACCAAAAUCAUCCCAAUGAUAGUGACCCCAAAUUGGUUUCUGAAGAGAUCGGUGGACAUGCUGCUGUGCAUCAUGUUGAUGGUGAUGUUGCAAAGACUCAUAAUUGUUCCUUUACUUCUGCUCCUUCAUCUGAAUCUCAAACUAAGUUUCACAUGAUGGAAGGCAGGAGUAGUAGUGCUGAUCUUGACAAUCCUUCCUGUGGUUCUCCAAUUGUCAUUAGAACUUCUGAGCAGUCUCAAAGUAAAAUUGAAAAGGAAAGUGUGAAAGGAUCCAAAGAUCAGACUGCUUCAGCAUCUGGGGUCAUUAAUGGGGGAGUGAACCAAGAGCAGUCUAUUUCUCAUGACACAAAAGGAAAUGAUGCAUCUUCAGGAGACAGAAACUUCACCUUUGAGGUACCUCCAUUGGCAGAUUUGUCUGAAAAAGAAGUUGGAAAGAAUUGGCAAACCUUUUCUCCCGUGCAACACAACAAAAUUUCCUUGAAGGUCAUGGACGGAACUCUGUCAACUUCUGGCUUAAGCAGAGUGGGAGCCAAGGCUGCUCAUGCAAAUAUUCUGGCAUCUGAGAGGGAGAAUGUGCAUGUACAUGGUGGCUCCAAAGGGACUUCUGAGCGUAAAACAAGGCGGGCAGGUCGUAAGAGCACAGGAAAGGAAGCUGCUAAAAGGGGAGUUGCUGCAAAAGAAACUACUUCGGCAAGACAAUCAGAAAGAAGUGAUAGAAGUAAUGUGUCGCUCAGUUCAUCUGGAAUCGGCAAGCUUGUGCAAUCCAAUGAGAUGCAGCACUAUGGGCACAUGGAAGGUGGUAAUAUGAAACCAAUUGGUGUUCUUUCUCCUUCAGUAUCUAGUCUGCCAGUCUUGAACGCCUUGGUUUCUUCCUCUGCAGUUUUUCAUCAGCCUUUUACAGAUUUGCAACAAGUCCAAUUGCGUGCUCAGAUUUUUGUGUAUGGAGCUCUAAUUCAAGGAACUGCACCUGAUGAGGCAUCUAUGAUAUCGGCAUGUGGGGGACCUGAUGGUGGAAGAACCAUAUGGGAGAAUGCCUGGCGAGCAUGUAUAGAGAGGGUACAUGCUCAAAAAUCUCAUCUUGUUAGCCCUGAAACUCCUUUGCAGUCACGUAUAGGUGCUAAAACUUCUGAUCAAAUAAUCAAACAAAAUCCUCUUCAGAGUAAAGUUACAUCCUCACCUGCUAGUCGGUCCACCAGCAAGGGUACUCCAUCAUCAAUUGUAAACCCGAUGAUGCCCCUUUCAUCGCCACUGUGGAGUAUUGCUACACCUACUGGUGAUGCCCUUCAACCUACUGGCAUUCCAAGAGGUGCAGUUAUGGAUUAUCAGCAGGCACUUACUCCCUUGCAUCCUCCACCAAUAAGGAAUUUUGUUGGACAUAAUGGUCCUUGGAUGUCCCAAUCCCCUUUCCAUGGCCCCUGGGGUCCACAGACUUCUGCAUUUGAUGGCAAUGCUCGUUUUCCUGUUCUUCCUACCACAGAAACAGUUAAUUUGACUCCUGUAAGAGAAGAAUCUUUGCCUCAUUCUUCUGGCAUGAAACAGGGUACCACAGUUCCUAUGGGCCAGAGUGAAAGUCCUGCUAAUGUUUUUGCAGGGGCUCCCCUGCUUGACACAAAAAAGGCAACAGUAACACCUGGUCAACUUUCUGCUGAUCCAAAGCCUAGAAAAAGGAAAAAGUCUAUGGUUUCUGAGGACCCUGCGCAGAUUAUACUGCAUUCUCAAACAGAGUCCCUUUCGGCUACUGUUGCGACUAGUCAUGCCUCUACACAUGCGGCCAUUACAACUCCUGCUACAAUUGUUUCCAAGUCUUCCACUGACAAAUUCAUUACAUCUGUCUCUGCUAAUAAUCUCAAAAAGAGUGACCGAUAUUCUGAUCAGAUGUCUACUCUGUCUGAAGAGACCCUUAGUAAACACAAGGAGGCUCAGAAGCAGGCAGAGGAUGCUACUGCUCUUGCUGCUGCUGCUGUUAGUCACAGUCAAGAAAUAUGGAGUCUGUUGGACAAGCAUAAAAAUUCUGGGUUGUCACCAGAUAUUGAAACUAAAUUGACUUCUGCAGCUGUUGCAAUAGCAGCUGCUGCUGCUGUUGCAAAGGCUGCAGCUGCGGCUGCCAAUGUUGCUUCAAAUGCUGCCUUACAAGCAAAACUGAUGGCUGAUGAAACAUUGGUUUCGAGAGGCUACAGAAAUUCUAUUCCAACUAAUUCAAUCUCUUCUUCUGAUAGUGUGAAGAAGCUGGGCAAGGCUACUCCUGCAUCCAUCUUGAGGGGUGAAGAUGCUACUAGUUCGAAUUCUGUUAUUGUUGCUGCAAGGGAAGCUACUAGAAGGAGGGUAGAAGCUACUUCAGCUGCCUCAAAGCGAGCUGAAAACAUGGAUGCCAUUGUUAAAGCUGCUGAGCUGGCAGCUGAAGCGGUAUCACAGGCUGGAAGGAUUGUUGCUAUGGGUGAGCCUUUCCCAUUGACUGAAUUGAUAGAAGCUGGUCCAGAUGCAUACUGGAAAGUACCCCAAGCAUCUUCUGAGCCAGAUGGUGCUAUCAGAGAAUGCAUAGACAAAGGUGGUAGUAUGGGAGCUUCUGGGUCAUCUGUCAGGCAUCCAACAGAGGUUCCAGUGGACAGGAGGGAAAAGCAGAGUGAUAACCAUGGAAUGUCGCCUACUCUUAGAGAGAUGGCCAGAGAGUCUAUGGAAGAUCAUUCUAGAUUGCCAGAUGGCAGUUUGGAUCCUGCUGCAACAAGUGGAAAGGAUAAAAAGGGACGAAAGGGCCGCAAAGCUUUAGAUAUUGCCAAAACUAAAGGAGUCGCUUCUGAAUCUGAGAUUGGCAUUGGAUCCCCUUCCGUGACCACUCAGACUGAGCAUGAAAAAGCAGGGGAAACUUCAAAAGAUAAUAAUAUAAGGGAGGGUUCCCUUGUUGAGGUAUUGAGAGAUGGAGGUGGCUUGAAAGUAGCAUGGUUCCUGGCUGAUAUACUUGAUUUGAAAGAUGGCAAAGCUUAUUUGUGUUACAAUGAAAUUCGAUCAGAUGAUGGUGAUAGGCUAAAGGAAUGGGUGGAACUUGAAGGUGAGGGAGAUAGGGCACCCAGGAUACGCAGUGCUCGUCCUAUUACAGCUGUGCCAUUUGAAGGAACGAGGAAGAGACGCAGGGCAGCCAUGGGGGACUAUAAUUGGUGUGUUGGAGAUAAGGUUGAUGCAUGGAUGCAAGAUAGCUGGUUGGAGGGAGUUGUCACUGAGAAGAGCAAGAAAGAUGAAACUUCAUUUACUGUUCAUUUUCCUGCUCAAGGAGAAACGUCUGUUGUCAAAGCAUGGCUUCUUCGUCCUUCUCUGAUGUGGAAGAAUGGUAGUUGGGUUGAAUGGUCCAGUUCUCGGGAUAAUAAUGGUUCUUCCCAAGAGGGUGAUACCCCACAGGAAAAGCGACUAAGGUUAGGCAGUCCUGCAGUUGAGGCCAAAGGGAAGGAUAAACUUUCAAAAAAUGUUGACAUUAAGGAGUCUGGAAAACCUGAUGACACAAGAUUGCUGGAUUUAUCUGCGAGUGAAAAAAUAUUUAAUAUUGGUAAAAGCAACAGAGAUGAGAGUAAGCCCCAUUCACUCCAAAUGACACGUACAGGUUUAAAGAAGGAAGGAUCAAGAGUAAUUUUUGGUGUUCCUAAGCCAGGAAAGAAGAGAAAGUUUAUGGAAGUAAGCAAACAUUAUGUUGCAGAUCAGAGCAGUAAGACUCAUGAAACAAGUGAUUCAGCUAAGUUUACAAAAUAUUUGUUGCCUCUAGGAUCUGAACCCUGUGGAACAAAAAAUAAAAUUGAACCAAAGGAAAAGCGAAUGGCUGUAUCCAAGCCCAAGGUUCUCAAGUCCGGAAAACUGCCUAGUUUUUCUAGUAGAACUAUUCCUCAGAAGGACAACUUAUCAAACACUAUGGUUUCUGAACCUGAUGUUGCUGUGGCCUCAGAUGUGUCAAAAUUCAAGGAUUUUGAAAGCCAUGCUGAGAAUAUAUCUGGAAAGCAUAACAUGAUGGAGUUUGGAUCAUUUUCAAGUUCUGAAGGAGCAGCAGGGGGCCCAUUCUUAUUUUCUUCUGUGGCUUUCUCAUCAGAUGUCCUCCCCAGGAAAACUUCCACAUCAACUGCUAAAUCUGAACAGAUUAUUAGAGGGAAACUUGCACCAGCAGCUGGGAGGUUAGCAAAAAUCGAGGAGGAAAAAGUCUUCGAUGGCAAUUCAACAAGAACAAUCUCUGAAGUUGAACCUCGUAGAUCUAAUCGCAGGAUUCAGCCAACAUCAAGACUAUUGGAAGGUCUACAAAGCUCGAUGAUCGUCUCGAAAAUUCCUUCGGUUUCUCAUGACAAAAUUCACAAAAAUCAAAGCAGGAGUACUAGAGGAAAUAACCAAGGUUGAGUGGAGCUGUUUUGCAACCGGAAUCCAGUGUAAAGAAAUUCAGGGAUUAUUGGAUGAUGAACAAGAAGAGCAUUGCAAGUGAUCAAACCACCCAUAUAUUGUUCUGCUUCCAACUGCUCAUAAGCUUACUCAGCAUUCUCCUCUCUGCAUCGACCCCACUAGUGAUGGGGUUUCUUGUAGUUGUGUUGCACCAAAAGAGUGCAAAAUAAAUGGGAAACAUUUUAACUUUUGACGACUUAAAUUAAUCCGACUGUGGGAAGAAAUGGUAUGUGAUAGAGAAAGCAACGUGCUCAAACGCUUGGAUGUUCGUGUGCUGUAUUAGUAAUAUCAUGCUAAGCAUUCUGAUCAUUUG